UACGGGGGGGGGCAAGCGUUGUUCGGAAUUACUGGGCGUAAAGGGCUCGUAGGCGGCCAACUAAGUCCGACGUGAAAUCCCCAGGCUUAACCUGGGAACUGCGUCGGAUACUGGAUGGCUUGAAUUCGGGAGAGGGAUGCAGAAUUCCAGGUGUAGCGGUGAAAUGCGUAGAUAUCUGGAGGAAUACCGGUGGCGAAGGCGGCAUCCUGGACCGGCAUUGACGCUGAGGCGCGAAAGCCAGGGGAGCAAACGGG
rnacentral:rRNA from 1 species